ensembl:lncRNA
AGUGACAUUGACCAGCAGUACUUAAACUAUCUAUUCAGUGUGGUGUUCCUGGCAUUGGCAUCUCACCCCACAGGUGAUCUCCUCAGCGUCCUGGACUUCCCAUUCCUGUCUUUCUACAGAUUCCACGGCAGCUGCUGUGCCAGUGGAUUUUUGGGAUUCUUUCUCAUGUUCAGCACAGUGAAGCUAAAAAGCCUGAUGGCCCCAGGGCAGUGUGCGGCCUGGAUUUUCUGUGCUAAGUCAAAGCGGCUAAGGGCAAUGGGAAUAAUUUUUCAUGGAAAAUUAAAACCCAGAGGCAGCAGCAUAAUUUCCUUUACAGGCUCUCGCUGGGCGACAAGAACUUGUCCAUGUCUUUCCAUGACAUCACUGUGGAAGCGACAGGAACGUGAAAUGGCAAGUUCAGGAGCCACUCUGUGUUUGCUGAGCUGUAUGGAAACAGGCAGUGAGAAGCUAGUUAUCUGGGAAUUAGUCGUUUAUAGACACGGUUUUCCCAGAGGACACAUGGGAGGGGAAAUACAGUUUGGGGUUGAAGGAAAAAAAUUUAAAUUCCGUUUCCAAUUGUCAAAAUAAUUCUUAGGGAAGUGACUGAUGCUAAUGGACAUUUUGCUAUUUUGGAUAAGGUUGUUGUUUUUCUUGUUUCCGAUUACGAACUCCUCAUUUUUCUCUGGGCUAUUUUUAGUGCCAUCGAUCAUCGCAAUGUUCUGUACUGCAAAAAUAUGAUCACGAUUCUGGGUUUCACAACUUUUGACCCGGAUGAAUUCGCUUUAGCUCAUUUACUAAGGAAAUACUCUGAAUUUCUGUUAAAGUGUUCUGACUGCAAGGUUUAGGCGAAUGCUGUUGGUAUCCAAGAUAAUGUAUAGCACCUAAAUGCAAGUGAUUUUUUGCAGCACAAAGGCCAGUUAAUUGGGAAGGUUUAUACACUCUCCACCUGGUGGGAAGGGGGAAAUGAAGUGAUAGGUCCUUGGUUCCUUGUUAAGAUAGCAUUGAAUAAUUGAGGGCCAAGCCAGUGCUUAAAUGCACUGAUCCUAUUUUCAUGUGUUUGCAGGGUUUGCGCACUCAGGUCAGAAAUAGAAGAUGCAGUUCUGCAUGUAUCUUUCGACGUACCUCCCACUGCAGUAAUGCUCUUGUCAUGUACUACUCCUUUCUUUAUAUGUUUGAGUCCCCUUUUCCUUAUGAAGGUCCUCUAUCCCACUCCCUAGCACUGAGGCCCCUGAGGUGUGUGCAGAGGGAAGGUAGUUAGCGGAGCACUUCACAGCCUGCACAUGCCCAAACCAGAGGGCAGGCCAUGGGCAGAACCAACUGCCUGUGUCAUUAGAGAAUGAGCUAAUAAAAUGAAACACACUGGGGAGAUCUGAAGGAGCAGAAUUUCAUUAUGGGGAAGCUAAGUUUUGGCACAUAAUAGAAAGGAGGCGUUCCUGCUGUGGCACAGUAGGUUAAGGAUCCAGUAUUGCCACAGCUGUGGCGUAGGUCAUAGCUGCUGCCCAGAUUUGAUCCCUGGUCCAGGAAUUUCCAUAUACCUUGGGUGUGGCCAAAAAAGGGAAAAAAAAAAA